UCCGUGGUGCCGGGGGGGUUCAGCCCUCAGCUGUUUUCUUUGGAGUAAUGUGGCCCUCACGGCUAUAUGAGUUGUGCAGCCUUGCCCCAGAGGUUUUUAAGG